rnacentral:rRNA from 1 species
AGAGUUUGAUCCUGGCUCAGAACGAACGCUGGCGGCAUGCCUAACACAUGCAAGUCGAACGCCUGUAGCAAUACAGGAGUGGCGCACGGGUGAUUAACGCGUGGGAACCUGCCCUGGAGUGGGGGAUAACCGAGGGAAACCUCGGCUAAUACCGCAUACGUCCUGAGGGAGAAAGAUUUAUCGCUCUAGGAGGGGCCCGCGUCGGAUUAGCUUGUUGGUGGGGUAACGGCCUACCAAGGCGAUGAUCCGUAGCUGGUCUGAGAGGAUGAUCAGCCACACUGGGACUGAGACACGGCCCAGACUCCUACGGGAGGCAGCAGUGGGGAAUAUUGGACAAUGGGCGCAAGCCUGAUCCAGCAAUGCCGCGUGAGUGAUGAAGGCCUUAGGGUUGUAAAGCUCUUUCGGCGGGGACGAUGAUGACGGUACCCGCAGAAGAAGCCCCGGCUAACUUCGUGCCAGCAGCCGCGGUAAUACGAAGGGGGCGAGCGUUGUUCGGAAUUACUGGGCGUAAAGGGCGCGCAGGCGGCGCGGCAAGUCAGGCGUGAAAGCCCCGGGCUCAACCUGGGAAUUGCGCUUGAUACUGCAGUGCUGGAG